rnacentral:rRNA from 1 species
ACGCUCGACACCUACGGGAGGCAGCAGUGGGGAAUAUUGCACAAUGGGGGAAACCCUGAUGCAGCAACGCCGCGUGAAGGAAGACGGUUUUCGGAUUGUAAACUUCUGUUCUUAGUGAAGAUAGUGACGGUAGCUAAGGAGCAAGCCACGGCUAACUACGUGCCACAGCCGCGGUAAUCUGAGGCGGGCUGGCAAGGC